CCCAUAGCCUUGUUAGGAACAGGAGGAGAACCUCAUUCUAACAUGAGCAAAGUCGAAGGCCCGAUUAUUUAGAGACUGAAUGGAGGGAGAGGCUCUUGCAACGGCCCUUACGUGCCCCCACAGUCUUGUUAGGAACAAGAGGAGAAUCUCGUCCUAACAUGAGCAAAGUCGAAGGCCCGAUUAUUUAGAGACCAAAUGGGGGGAGAGGCCCUUGCAACGACUCUUACGUGCCCCCACAGUCCCGUUAGGAAUAGGAGAAAAAUCUCAUCCUAGCAUGAGCUGAAAUUGACUGUGUCAGGAACAGGAGGAGAGCCUCAUCCUGACACAAAUGAAGACCUGAUCGUUCAAGACCGGAUGAGGAGAAAAGCCUCCUCAAUGGCUCCUCUACAUCCCUACAACCCCGCUGAGAGCAGAGGAAAAACCCUCACCCAAAUAUAUAAAAAAAAAGGGGAGAUAAAAAGGGAAAGCGACAAACUACGUUAGUGAUAAGGGAAAAACAAACUAC
rnacentral:lncRNA from 1 species